UCCCUCAUGGUCUAGUGGUCGGGAGUCGGCGCUCUCACUGCCGUGGCCUGGGUUCGAUUCCCGGCCAGGGAA